UCACCAGAGACCGAUAGUAAAAGCGGAACCAUUAACAGCUCAACAAGGUGGGCUAGGUUUGUAUGGGUGGUAAGAUAGUGUUAGCCUAGACAGGGAUAGGGAAUGUAGGCUUAGAGAUAAGACUAGCUUUCCACCCCUUCAAGCAGGCUCUUAGGUACCCAAGAUUCAAGUCUUGACGACGACGAGUCUUCCUUUGAUGUCAUUGAUGAACCGAGGUCAUCAGAGGUCAACCAGGUAGUAUCUGGGUAAAGUAUGAAAGGAAAAUAAUCCUCUCUCUUCACAACAAUUCUAACAUUUCCCUUUUUUAUUGUCUUCCACAGCAUGUUGUUCUGAAGCAGCAAUUGUGGCAGGCCAUUUUGGUAUAGCAACUCCUUGAGACCGCAGUUUGGUAAGGUAUCGGGGUUAACUCACAGUUAACUGGACUUUGGCUUGAGAGUAACAUUUCCCUUUUUAUUGUCUUCCACAGCCUGUUCUGAAGCAGCAAUGGGGCAGGCCAUGCCCUGGUAGCAACUCAAUGAGACCGCAGUUUGUCUUGUAUAUAGUGAUGAGCUUUUGGGAUGAGCAUCAGUUGAAGAAACAGCAGAGGAAGUCAACAACAAACCGCAUGUUUGAGACGCUUCGAUGUUGAUGCCAACCAACGCUUUUGGACUGUGUGCAACCAGCUUACUGGACCAUGAUGGCGCCCUGCUGCCUGACUGUAUGAUGACACCCAAGAAGAAGACUAUAUUAGGGCCUUAUCCAAACCUUGGCUUGGGCUCCGGCUCUGGCUUUAGGCUCCACCAGACAAAAUGCCCCAAAACAUAUAAAGGAAUCAUUCAAGCCAGAGCCCAAGACGAUCUUUGGAAAAGGCCCUUAUUUUAAUGUUUAUUCCACAUAGGCUUUAAAGGAUUUGGGUACUUUUUCAAAAUGUCCAUAGAUUGACAUUAA